ACUUAAGUAGUUUAAUUAAAAAUAUUGGCUUGUGGUGUCAUUGAUAUAAAUUUAUUUAUUUUAGGUU
rnacentral:tRNA from 1 species